UCUAGAUCUCCGGGCCUGCGAUGGGAGGGACAGCCUCACAUAUCUCUAAAAUGCCUUCAGGGUCAUUUUCCCAUUUUCUUGAUGAAUAGCACUUGGCUCCCUUCUAUCGAUGUUACUCUCUUUAGCAAAUGAUCAUUUGGCCAUACUCUUAGUAUUCUCUCCCAAACAUGCUUUUUAACCCUUUACAUAGCCAGACUUCAAAUUUUCCACAUCUUUCUUCUGUGAUUCCCUUUUAAUUAUAAAUUCUAUCUGGUCAUUUCUUUGCUCUUAUAUCUUAUUUUAUGUGGUUAAUAGUAACCAUGCAGCAGCCUGAAUAUUUUUCUGCUUAGAUAUUUCUUCUGCCAGGUAUCCUAAGUCAUUGCUCUUAUGUAUUUCAUAAAGUCCUAGGACAUGAACACAAUUUAUCCAAGGUCUUUGCUACUUCAUAACAAGGAUGGCCUUUACUCCAGUUUCCAAUACUUUAUUUCUCAUUUAUAUCCAAGGCUUCAGCAGAAUGGCCUUUAUUACUCAUAUUUCUACCAGUUUUCUGGUCACGAUCACUUAAGUGGUCUCUGAGAAAAUUCAGACUUUCCCUAGUUCUGGGGUCUUCUUCUGAGCCCUCACCAGAAUCACCAUUAAUGUUCUGUUUAUGAUAGUCUAGGCUUUAGCUUGCUUGCUCCUCCAAAUCCUUUCAGCCUCUAAACAUUACCUAGUUCCAAAGCUGUUUCCAUAUUUUCAGUUAUUUGUUAUAGCAACAAUUCUACUUAUGCACCAAUUUUCUGUCUUAGUCCAUUUUCUGUUGCUAUAACAGAAUAUCAGAGACCAGUCAAUGAACAAAGAAAAGAAGUUCAUUCAGCACAAAAUUCUGGAGGCUGGGAAGUCCAAGAGCAUGGUUCUGGCAUCUGACAAGGGCCAUCCAAUGAUGAAUAAAUGGAAGGCAAGAGAAAUGCAUGUGAGAGAGUACUGGUUCUUGCAACAAAGCCACUCCCAUAAUAACUAAGUCACUCCCAACAUAACUGCAUUAAUCUACUCAUGAAGGUGAAGCUCCUAUGACCCAAUCACUUCCUAAAGACCUCACCUCCUGAUGCUAUCAUACUGGCAAUUAAGUUUCAACACAAGUUUUGGAGGGGACAUUCAAGCCAUAGCACUGUCCCUCCUUUAUGUCAGACCCCAGGAAAAUUAAUCUUUUAUGACUUCUCUCUUCCCCUAACAAACCUCUUUUUACUUACCACGGCUGUGCCAACUCCACAUUUAACAAGGCCACUGAAUAUAGAGUAAGAAGGCCUCAAAUUCUAUAUUGCAGCUAUCCUUAUCUAGCUCUGUGACCUUAAGUAAAGUGGUUAUCUUCUCUAAGUCUUAUUUUUUUCCUUGGUAAAAGGGGUUUUCACCUGCCUUGCUUAACUAAAAGGCUGUUGUAAAGAUAAAAUAGGGAAUGUUUUGUCUGACUGUUUUAUAAGUGAACAUUAUACUGUGUAAGCUGCUCAAGCAAGUUAAAAUUAAGUUCUGCUGAUGUGACUGACAACCCAAAGUGAUAGUGGCUUAAACAAGUUAGAAUUUUAUUUCUUUCUCAUGUGAAAGAAAUUGAGAGAGAAGCUCUUCAGGGCCAGUGUAAUGGCUACAGGAUGCAGGGACCCAAACUCUUUCUCUUUUGAUGCUUUUUUUUUUUUCUCUCUUGAUGCUCGACCAUUCUUAGCACCUAAUUUCCUCGUCAGGAUUGAGGUUGGCCACAUAAGCUCUGCCAUCAUGUCUGCGUUCCAGACAGCAAGAAAGAGAAAGAGAGGGGACAUUCUCCCUCUCUUUAAAGACACUUACAGGAAUUAUGCAUGACACUCCAGAUGACAUUUAUUUGUCGGAGCUUAAAUAGCUACAUCAAACUGCAAGGGAGAUCGAGCAAACAUAUGCCCAGCUGAAAACCAGGACUUCAAAAAAAUAAGAAUCAUUCAGGUAAUGGCUACUAGGGAUGACUAUGGUUUGAAUGUUUGUGUCUCCUCCAAAAUUCAUGCUGAAACUUAAUCAUCAAUGCCAUGGUAUUGAGGUGAAGCCUUUAGGAGGUGAUUGAGUCAUGAGGGCAAAGCCAUCAUGGAUAGAAUUGGAGCCCUUGUAAGAUGGUAUGAGGGAGUGAGUUUGCUCCUGUCCAUCUCUGCUGCCAUGUGAAAACACAGCAUUCAUCCUCAACAACAAGGUGCCCCCUUGGAAGCAGACAGCAGCCCUCACCAGACACUGAACCUGCCAACACCUCGGCCUGAACUUCCCUGUCUCCAGAAUUAUGAGAAAUAAAUUUCUGUUACUUGUAAAUUAUCGAGUCUUCGGUAUUUUGUUAUAGCAGCACAGACCAAGACAGGGAUCAACUAGCAAUCCAUGACACAGAUCAUUUUUCUGACAUCUGUGAGAAUAUUCCAUAUUCCAUAUUCUAUUUCCAGCUCAUUUGAACCUUGUUGAAACACUCCUGUUCUGGGUCACAUUUCUUUUCAAUUGUAUUCUCUAGUUUCUCUAGGUUUUAGGCAACACUAAUCACACAAUAAAUUAACUAUAUUAAAGUAUUUAAAAGCAGAUAAUGAUUUAUUGUGGCCAAAAUCUCUAAAAUAAUCUCCCUUUAAAAAUUAUUCUAUCAUAAUCAAUACAACUCAUUGCCAUAAGAGUUCCAACUUUAUCCCUAUAAAGUUAUGUUUAAUUAUAUAACUUCAUUACUUAAAACCUGCAAUAAUACCCUAAGCUUAGGGAAACCAUAUAUUCCAGUUUGCCCAAGGCCAUCUUGGCUUAUGCUUCUUGUCCUGGGGUCCCCUCUCAUUUAGCACUUGUCCUGGUUUUUAUUUCUUAAUAAAGUAAUAACACCUAUAUAUGUAUUAAAAUAAGCCAAGGUAUAUUUCAUGAACCUCUACUUUAUAUUUAUUUCCAGCUUCUGCCAUAGUCUCUUCUGGUACUGUGUGAGAAGCAUGUAAAAUAAAUAGAUUUCUUAUUUUGACAUUUGAUUAUAGCUAAAAGAUAACAGUGAUAAACCAACUCUCUUUCCUCUACCCUUUCAAGAUCCAACUUAGUUUACAUUUCCCUUCCAAGGACAACAUAUAGGGUUAUUCACUCAUAAUUCGUUCAUAAGUUGAAGUGUACUUGGAUAUAAUUGGGUAGGAUCAGUAAGCUCCUUCUAGUCCAAUGGCAAUGCCUUCCAGGUGCACCUAGUCACCAGGGUGACAGGUGGUUAAUCAGGUAGAAACAUAAGUAAAAUAUGUACAAGGAAUAGAGAUUGACCAAUCCUGUCAGAGUCUAUACAGAAUAGUCUGAAUGGUCCUACUCUACAAGUUUAUCAUCUUUUCAAGCCAGUAACAGUGUGUUUAAAACAAAGUUUCAACUAUUGUAUAGUGAAAAUCUAUAAAUAUGCAUAUAUAAUAAAUGUUUUUACAUAUGAAAUAUCAUACAUAAAUACAGAUUUUAUUAUAAAUACUUAUAGAUUUACACCAUACAUAAUUAUUAAGAUAAAAUAAAUAUAUUUUAUUGUCAAUGCAUUUUUAUUUUACAAUAAACCAUUCAGCAGCAAUAAGCUUAAAAGAAAAAAAAAUUCAAGUUUUAUAAAAAAUUAGGACAGAUUUUUCCUUCUUAUUUUUUUCCCUUAAGAGAAGGUGUCACUCUGUCACCCAGGCUGGGGUGCAGUGGUAUGAUCACAGCUCACUACAGACUUGAACUCCUGGGCUCAAGUGAUCCUCCCACCUCAGCCUCCCAGGUAGCUUGGACGACAGGAACAUGCCACCACGGCCGGCUAAUGUUUAUUUGUUUGUUUUUAGAGAUUAGGGUCUCCCUAUGUUGCCCAGGCUGGUCUCAAACUCUUGGGCUCAAGCAAUCCUCUUGCCUCAGCCUCCCAAAGUGCUGGAAUUAUAGGUGUGAGCCACCACACCUGGCUGACUUGCCACUUCUCAAAAGUAUUGACAAUGAAAGAGUAACUCAUACCAAAUAUUUGUUGAGAAUUACCAUCUACCACUUGAGCUACUGAUAUUAUUGGCCCAAUGAAAACCAGAAGACACAAAUAUGAAGAAAUAUCAGAAACUCCUCUAACAGUCAAGAGAAGGCUGUGCCCAAAGAUGGUGAUUUCACAUGUGCAGCUAUAGAAAAUACACACAUCACAUUGUGAAGCAUGACUUUUUAUUUAGAUCAAAUGCAUCUUCUAAAUUAACUUUACUCAUUUUUUAUUCCAAGUUUCCUUGUGCGAGUCUGAAAAUAAAGUGAUCAUUAUCAAGGUGUUAUCUCCAUUAGCAGAAGAAAAACUUCUAAAAUAGUUAAAUGGUGGAUGUGAGGGUGAUCUAUUCACAACAUCUGUCACCAUAUUGAUCACCAAGGUUGAUGUGGCUGCCAACCCGGCUGGCUAUGUGGCUGUGCCCUUCCUCCCUCACUGCCCCAUGUACAUCCUUGCCAAAGCUCUGUGCUUGGUUGAAGAGAACUAUCUUCCCUGAUAAAAUGGUUAAGUAGUACAAGUUUUACAGCAGUCUUCAGCUUCAAAUUGAAAAUCACUUAAUUAUAAAAAUACUUCUAUUCUUUUCAAUGAUUUAUGAAAUAAAAAUAUAGCCCAUUCUGGCAUAGUUGAAACAUCUGACAUUUUGUGAAUGCUAUUUUAAGUUCAGUUAAAACUUUUGUUGUUGUGAUAAAACAAUUAGAAAUUUUGGUGGAGCCCAGCAUCGUAGUAAAAACAAUGAUCUCACAAAACUUAAAAACAUAGAAACUAUGGAGCAGAGCUCUACUUGGAAUUGGUUGUGGUGUACAUGUAAUUCAUAAGUCGGUUAAUACGAGCUGUGAUAUUCUACCAUUCAAAAUAAAAACUAUAAUUAUCAAACUUUACAUAUAUAGGUAUACUUAAAUCACUUCUAUAUAUAAGUGGUUUAACUACAUAAAAUUUAGGAUGACACAUGCUGAAGACAAAAAAAAAUUCAAUACUGCAAUACAAACUUUCUUUUUCUUGAUGCCUACAAUCAACUGAAUAUUAGAAAUGUUUGAGCCUGGGGGCCAGGCGCAGUGGCGCACACCUCUAAUCCCAGCACAUUAGGAGGCUGAGGCAGACAGAUCAUCUGAGGUCAGGAGUUCAAGACCAGCCUGGCCAACAUGGCGAAACCCCAUCUCUACUAAAAAUACAAAAAUUAGCCAAGUGUGGUGGCAAGUGCCUGUAAUCCCAGCUACUCGGGAGGCUGAGGCAGGAGAACUGCUUGAACUUGGGAGGCGGAGGUUGCAGUGAGCUGAGAUUGCCCAGUUGCAGUCCAGCCUGGGCAACAAGAGCAAAACUCCAUCUCAAAAAAAAAAAAAAAAAAAAAAAAAUGUUUGAGCCAUUGAAGAAUUUUUUAUAUUAACCCCAGUGUCCUACAAUGGAAUUGAAUUUUUAAAUUAAAAAGUCCUCUAAAUUAUGGUUGCAUUUUGUUCAAAAUUAGUUGGAACUCUUUAAUAAAAGUACUCCAUAAAUAAAACAACAAAAAAGUGUUGAAGUUUUUAGUAAAUUUUGGUUACUAAAAAUAAGGUUUAUAACAAUAAAGACAUUGAAAUUUAUUCUUCCUAAUACAAGGGAGGAACUGAACAUAUCAAAUGAAAAGGGCUUAAAGGGUAAACAAGUUUCUGUUUUCAAAUUUGAUAAUUGUUCUUCAGAAUAUAUUACUUUUAGGGAGAUCAUUUGACAGAGCAACUAUUUUUAAUUCAACAAAUUUAUAUUCUGUUCUGGAGUAGAAUAAAAAAACUUAUAAUUUUAUAACAUUUAUAUUUGGCAAAACUUCAAAAACAUCAUAAACACAGAUGACUUAUUUGAUGAGUUUUUGUCUUAUAAAAACAUUUGUUGAAUAAAAAUACACUGAAUAGAGGGGGGAAACAACCUGAGAUGUUUACACAUUUUAAUAUAAAAAAAUUUUUUCAUUGCGAAUAUCCUACAUCGAGCAGAAUUUAUUUUGAAUAUGCUUCAGUUUCUGAAGGGAAAGUAUUUUCUUAAUUUAAAAAAAAAAGAGAAUAAUUCAUUGGAGUCAUCAAACAUUCUAAUUUAUUUACCAUAAAAUAGAGCUUUGAGGCCGGGAGUGGUGACUUAUGCCUGUAACCCCAGUACUUUGGGAGGCUUAGGCAGGCAGAUCACGAAGUCAGGAGAUCAAGACCAUCCUGGCUAAUGGUGAAACCUCAUCUCUACUAAAAAAAAAAUACAAAAAAUUAACCAGGUAUGGUGGCAUGCGCCUGUAGUCCCAGCUACAUGGAAGGCUGAACCCAGGAGGCACAGGUUGCAGUGAGCCGAGAUUGCACCACUGCACUCCAGCCUGGGCAACACAGUGAGACUACCUCUCUCAAAAAAAAAAAAAAAAAAAAAAAAAAAAACAUAUAUAUAUAUAUAUAUAUAUAUAUAUAUAUAUAUAUAUAUAGCUUUGACUAUUACUCAAUUUUAUUAGAACAUUUUAAUAAGAUUAUAUUGAAAAUACAUAUAUUCUUCAGAAAGAUACUAAUGGCAUGAUAUUAAGGAUAGAUUUAGAUAAGAAAUAGAUUAAAAUAUGUGCCUAUACAAUUGCCUCAAAAAGAAUAAAAUAUCUAGGAAUACAGCUAACUAGGAAGGUGAAGGAUCUCUACAAGGAGAACCGCAAAAAACUUCUCAAAGAAAUCAGAGAUGACACAAACAAAUGCAGAAACAUUCCAUGCUCAUGGAUAGGAAGAAGCAGUAUCAUUAAAAUGACCAUACUGUCCAAAGCAACUUAUAGAUUUCCAGGUUCAAGCGGUUCUCCUGCCUCAGCCUCCGGAGUAGCUGGGACUACAGGCGCAUGCCACCAUGCCCGACUAGUUUUUUGUAUUUUUAGUAGAGAUGGGGUUUCACCGUGUUGGUCAGGCUGGUCUCAAACUCCCGGCCUCAGGUGAUCCACCCUCCUCGGCCUCCCAAAGUGCUGGGAUUACAGGCAUGAGCCACUGUGCCCAGGCAAUAUUUUUAUAUUUUAAGAAUUUUUUUCAGGCUGGGCGUGGUGGCUCAUGCCCGUAAUCCCAGCACUUUGGAAACUGGGGUGGACAGAUCACUUGAGGUCAGGAGUUCGAGACUAGCCCGGCCAACAUGGUGAAACCCCAUCUCUACUAAAAAUACAAAAAUUAACUGGGCAUGGUGGUGCGCACCUGUAAUCCCAGCUACUUGGGAGGCUGAGGCAUGAGAAUCACUUGAACCCGGGAGGCAGAGUUUGCAGGAAGCCAAGACCGUGCCAUUGCUCUCCAGCCUGGGAGAAAGAAGGAGUCUCUAUCUCCAAAAAAAAAAAGAUUUUUUUUUCAAAAAGUUUUUAAUAGAGUCAACUUGAUGGUCAAUAAAUAUUCAAAAGAUUAAGUUCCACUUAUUUUUAGCACCUCCUUUUACUCUCAAAAGUGUCCCAGUUUGGUUGAUGUUGGCUAACUAUAGCCAACAGGAUAAAGCCACAUUCCUUGUGAUGUGGCCCUCUGCACCUUUCCAGUCUCCAUCCCGUGACUCUUCAAAGCCUCCCAGGCUCGGCUCUCAAAGCUCUACUCCCACACUUCCCUCUGGCUGCAAUGCCCUGUGCCCUCAUAACCCUGCUGCAUUCUAACUCGGCCAUUACAUCCAACCUAAAUAUCUUCUUACAGCUUCUGCUGACUUUCUUCUCUUACCUUCCCAUCUUACAGCAUUAAUUAUACGCACAUAUAUGUCCUCAUAGAGCUUCACAUGCAACCCUGAUUGUUGUUACAGCGCCACUAUUUUCUUUCCUGUCCUCCUUUCAAACUGGAUGGGGAAAGCUGAGAGGCCAUGGACUUUGACUUCUUUAUCUUUGUACAUCCAGAGCCUGACGCAUUACUGGACACAAACUGGUUAUGGCAAAUGUUGGUCUAAUUAAAUGUGUUGUAUCACAAAGAAGGCCUUUCAGAACCUCAGAACCUCCUAAAACACACUAUGAAGGCAUCCUUGUGCUCUAUGAUUGCGUAUAAGGCCCUUCCAGGACCUGAUCCUCUAGCUGCUGAGCCCCAGCAGGGCCUGUUUUUUUCUGGAGGACUCAUAGGUUCAUGAUCAUCUGCUGGCAUGCUCUUGAGAAGGCUCUAGGGUGAAUAGAUAACCUCAGCUGUCCGGUGAUUCAUUUCGCUAUGUAAAAUCUGAAAUAAUGAUAAUGUAUUUUGCAUGUGUGUGUGUAAAAUUAACACUCACUUAUUCCCAAAUAAACCAAUAACAAUUUCCAGUGCCUAUACCAAAAGCUUGACCAACAAAACUAUAACUACCAGAAAGGGUAGUGAAUAUAACCUAACCCUAUUUUCUUUUUUUUCUUUUUUUUUCUUUUUUUUUAUUAUACUUUAAGUUCUAGGGUAUGUGUGCACAACGUGCAGGUUUGUUACAUAGGUAUACAUGUGCCAUGUUCAUUUACUGCACCCAUCAACUCGUCAUUUACAUUACAUAUUUCUCCUAAUGCUGUCCCUCCCCCAGCCCCCCACCCCCUGACAGGCCACGGUGUGUGAUGUUCCCCACCAUGUGUCCAUGUGUUCUCACUGUUCAACUCCGACCUAUGAGUGAGAACAUGCUGUGUUUGGUUUCCUGUCCUUGUGAUAGUUUGCUUAGAGUGAUGGUUUCCAGCUUCAUGCAUGUCCCUGCAAAGGACAUGAACUCAUCCUUUUUUAUGGCUGCAUAGUAUUCCAUGGUGCAUAUGUGCCACAUUUUCUUAAUCCAGUCUAUCAUUGAUGGACAUUUGAUAACCUAACCCUAUUUUCUAAAGCUGGUCAUAGACUCCCCUUCACUAGGCAAGGGGCCCUUAAGUAAGAAGAUGUCCAGCAAAGUGAAUCUAAGACAUACAAAAUGGUGAGUUUCCAUAUUGGGUUAUGUCUCACUCUAACAAAGCCGUCUUUCAUUAUGGAUAUAAUUUAAAAGUGCCUAUAUAGGUGUGUAUAUGUGUAUAUCAUAUACACUUUGAAUAGAUAGCAUUAUCGAUUCACACAUCCACAGUCGUCAAUAAUACUGCGAAUUACCUAGGAGACAGCACAGUGGUAAUAGAGAGGCCUUGGAGCUAGAUAAGUCUGUGAUAGAAUUUUGACUUCAUCUUUUCUUGAGCCUCAGUUUCCUCAUCUGUGAAAUGUGAAUAAACAUGCCUGCCAUUUAGACCUGUUGAAAGGAUUAAAGAAGACAGUACCUAGACAGAUAAAUAGUAAAGUUGUUACAUUUAUUACUACAGGAUCUGUUAUUAUUUGACUAGCAUGUAAUCUACUAAUAUUGCACAACCUUGAUUCUUAUUCUCUAAGGUGAAGUAGAGCUGAUCGCUAAGUCCCCAUUGCUGCCAAAUUCUGUUUUCAGUGACAUUUUAAGAACAGCCUCCCUCCGCAUGUCCACAGGGAACUGUCAGGCCCAGGGGCACCUCUGCUGCUUCCCAGUAGGAAGCUCCCUCGAGAAAGCAAGCAGGGAGCGGGUUUCUAUGAUCCCACCAAGAUUUGGCUGAGCUCCACUUUCAGCCUAGUGACUCAUGCACCUUGAGUUGCUAAGGGAAUUGAAAGUGUUGCCAAGGAAUUUUGCAGUUUGCAGCAGGUGGAUGUAGAAAUUACAGAACCACUUUCUUCAAAUCAGUAGCAGUGGAUGUUUGUGCCCACAAGGAUGAGGGCACUUUGGCAAGCACCCUAACCAACUUCUCCUCAUACUUCAAAACAGACCCCAAACCAUGUUUUCACCUUCUAGUGGUAUAUGAAUGCACAGAUGCAGAAGUAAAACCUGGUCCUGAGCAGAGGGUCUAAAUCUGCAGGCGUCAACAAAUAUGUUACAACAUUUUUUUAAUGUGAAUGGUCAAUUGACUUUUAUGAAACUGAAUAUUAACUGAUAAAUGAUUACACUGUUCAUCAAUUAUUUCACUUUAGAUAUAAUCUGAAAUCUUUCAAAAGAUGUUUGUCUCUCCUUAUCAAUACAAUUGAUUGUUUUAUCUCAGUGCUGCAUUUUCGGCAAUUUUCUCAUAUCUAACUUUCGGUUUAUAAAUUUUUUUGCUUUAGCUGUCUUUAACCAGCUGAUUAAACCAUGCACUGCAUUUCCAUUUCAAUGACGAUAUUUUGCAAUUCUAGAAAAUUUAUUUAACUAUUUUUGAAUUUUUUUUUAGUAUUCCGCUUAAGUUUAUGUGUUGGUGUUUUGGCUAUAUCUAUUUGUAUAGUUUUUUUAUGAUUGCGCUAAGGAUAAUGAAAUACAUACCUAACCUCUUACAGUCUAUUUAGAUGGAAUAUUUUACCACUACAAGCAAAACAUGGAAGUCCUGCAACCCUUU
rnacentral:lncRNA from 10 species